rnacentral:rRNA from 1 species
CAGCCGCCGCAGUAAUACGUAGGGGGCGAGCGUUACCCGGAUUCACUGGGCGUAAAGGGGGUGUAGGCGGCUCGGUAAGUCGGGUGUGAAAUCCCACGGCUCAACCGUGGAAUUGCGCCCGAAACUGCCGAGCUUGGGGCCGGUAGAGGGAGACGGAACUGCCGGUGUAGGGGUGAAAUCCGUAGAUAUCGGCAGGAACGCCGGUGGGGAAGCCGGUCUCCUGGGCCGCGCCCGACGCUGAGGCCCGAAAGCUAGGGGAGCAAACCGGAUUAGAUACCCGGGUAGUCCUAGCCGUAAACGAUGCCCACUAGGUGUGGGGGAGUAUUUCCUCCGUGCUGUAGCUAACGCGUUAAGUGGGCCGCCUGGGGAGUACGCCCGCAAGGGUGAAACUUAAAGGAAUUGGCGGG